AGACGAAAGUUAUUAAACAAGUUGGUUUCGGCCCAUAUUUCUGAGGAUAAAUCCUCUUCGUCUU
rnacentral:tRNA from 1 species